rnacentral:rRNA from 1 species
UAUUAUUUACUAAAUUAAAGUCUUUGGGUCGGUUGAAGAUUGUCGUGCGUCUGAUUAGCUAGUUGGUGAGGUAACGGCUCACCAAGGCGACGAUCAGUAGCUGGUCUGAGAGGAUGAUCAGCCACACUGGAACUGAGACACGGUCCAGACUCCUACGGGAGGCAGCAGUAGGGAAUAUUGGACAAUGGGCGGAAGCCUGAUCCAGCCAUCCCGCGUGUAGGAAUAAGGCCCUAUGGGUUGUAAACUACUUUUAUUAGGGAAGAAAAACUUUGAUUUAUCAGAGCUUGACGGUACCUAAGGAAUAAGCACCGGCUAACUCCGUG